rfam:Pelecanus crispus contig215, whole genome shotgun sequence.
GCUGGGUUAGCUCAGUUGGUUAGGGCAUGGUGCUAACAACACCAAGUUCACAGGUUCAAUCCCUGCUUACUGCA